UGGGGAAUUUUGGACAAUGGGCGAAAGCCUGAUCCAGCAAUGCCGCGUGAGUGAAGAAGGCCUUCGGGUUGUAAAGCUCUUUUGUCAGGGAAGAAACGGUGAGGGCUAAUAUCCCUUGCUAAUGACGGUACCUGAAGAAUAAGCACCGGCUAACUACGUGCCAGCAGCCGCGGUAAUACGUAGGGUGCAAGCGUUAAUCGGAAUUACUGGGCGUAAAGCGUGCGCAGGCGGUUGUGUAAGUCAGAUGUGAAAUCCCCGGGCUCAACCUGGGAAUUGCAUUUGAGACUGCACGGCUAGAGUGUGUCAGAGGGGGGUAGAAUUCCACGUGUAGCAGUGAAAUGCGUAGAUAUGUGGAGGAAUACCGAUGGCGAAGGCAGCCCCCUGGGAUAACACUGACGCUCAUGCACGAAAGCGUGGGGAGCAAACAGGAUUAGAUACCCCUGUAGUCCCUGAGCGGGCUGGCAAGGCGCAU
rnacentral:rRNA from 1 species